AACGAACGCUGGCGGCAUGCCUAACACAUGCAAGUCGAACGAGACCUUCGGGUCUAGUGGCGCACGGGUGCGUAACGCGUGGGAAUCUGCCCUUGGGUUCGGAAUAACAGCGAGAAAUUGCUGCUAAUACCGGAUGAUGACGUAAGUCCAAAGAUUUAUCGCCCAAGGAUGAGCCCGCGUAGGAUUAGCUAGUUGGUGAGGUAAAGGCUCACCAAGGCGACGAUCCUUAGCUGGUCUGAGAGGAUGAUCAGCCACACUGGGACUGAGACACGGCCCAGACUCCUACGGGAGGCAGCAGUGGGGAAUAUUGGACAA
rnacentral:rRNA from 1 species